GUGAGUCAUCGAAUCUUUGAACGCACAUUGCACUCUAUUUAGAGUAUGCCUGUUUGAGAAUCUAUAGUAUUAAUUUUUGGGUUUGCUUUUUAAAAGCAAGUCUAAAAGAUUUGGAGCCUCCCUCGAGAGAGGGUGCUUUGAAAUAGAUUGCCUCGGAACUGAUUGACUCGACGAAGUUUUCAAACCCGCAGAAAAGUAUGUGAAUGGAACUCUGGUUUCUCAUAAUGCCGAAUACGUGGGCGAAGAUGGAGAAUCUCUUGGGUCGGGGUCCAUAACCUAAAAGACAGUCUUAGGACUGGC
rnacentral:misc_RNA from 1 species